rnacentral:lncRNA from 1 species
UGGCUCUCCUAUGGUUGCGGUUGAUCAGCUGUAGAAGUGCAUGGAAUAUUGCGCCCAACCCAUUGCUCUGAAUUGACCCUAGCCUCAUUGGUUAUAAAGCCGGCCGGUCAUGUAGGCGAUCCUGGCUUGUCAAGCUUCGGCUUUUGCUACUGGCGCACAAGCCAGCCGACCAUAGAAUCAUCGUCGAAAGCCCUAAUAUUGGAUCAGCAUACUUGAGCUCCACUUCCUUCUGAAUGCACUUUAGCUUCAACUGCAGAUUGUAGUGCACAUAUACAAGGUUGUUGAGGCGCUUCUGUGUCAAACAGUUCAUCUGCUUGCUGUGGAUGAGGGCGAAGGUGAGCCAGUUGCGCUCAGCCACUCGAGGAGACCGUCUGGAUGAGAAUCCGGAUAGCUAUCCACUUAAGAUUUUUCGCGGACACUUCAAAAUGAAUCUGCCAUUCGGCUGCAGAAAUAUUGAAGAAAAAUAGAUAUUAGUACCAUAUUAGUAAUCCUCUAACGCCAGAUGAAUGUCCUCCUAAUGCGUAAUGUACUUAGA